rnacentral:misc_RNA from 1 species
GCCACGCCCGAAGUCAUUACCCCAACUCUUAGGAGAGGGGGAUGCCGAAGGUAGGACUGGUGACUGGGGUGAAGUCGUAACAAGGUAGCCGUACCGGAAGGUGUGGCUGGAUCACCUCCUUUUAGGGAGACCUAAUCCACUCAGAUAUCGAAAACAGCAAGUAAAAAGAUGCUGAGAUGGUCAUUCCUAGGUCGGUCGAGGUUGGUAAAAACUUUCAAAGUAUUUUUGGUUCAGUUUAAUAACAGAGAAAAAGUCAGCAACAUGGCGUAAAGCCAGACUGCUGGGUAAAACUCAGCCAGAACCUUGAAAACUGCAUAGUAACGCGAAAAAAGCAGGCAGACACAGACAAUCAAAUGAAAGUGUUUGCAGUGGAAAAAACCAAUGUAAAGUGGUCAAGCUAAUAAGGGCUAACGGUGGAUACCUAGGCACACAGAGG